AGCGAACGCUGGCGGCAGGCCUAACACAUGCAAGUCGAACGAACCUUUCGGGGUUAGUGGCGGACGGGUGAGUAACACGUGGGAACGUGCCUUUAGGUUCGGAAUAACUCUGGGAAACUUGUGCUAAUACCGAAUGUGCCCUUCGGGGGAAAGAUUUAUCGCCUUUAGAGCGGCCCGCGUCUGAUUAGCUAGUUGGUUGAGGUAAUGGCUCACCAAGGCGACGAUCAGUAGCUGGUCUGAGAGGAUGAUCAGCCACAUUGGGACUGAGACACGGCCCAAACUCCUACGGGAGGCAGCAGUGGGGAAUCUUGCGCAAUGGGCGAAAGCCUGACGCAGCCAUGCCGCGUGAAUGAUGAAGGUCUUAGGAUUGUAAAAUUCUUUCACCGGGGACGAUAAUGACGGUACCCGGAGAAGAAGCCCCGGCUAACUUCGUG
rnacentral:rRNA from 1 species